UUGAUGAAAAAUUUCUUUCCCAAAUGUUUAACAUGCUGUUGAAGAUAAAACUAAAAGAGACUGAAAAUUACAAACUCAUUUCUGUAUUUGAUCUUUUUGGCAAUGUUCUCUUAAUUCCUCUCUCAAGCUACCUUCACAGGUAAAAUAAGUGGGAGAAACAUGCACAAUCUAACUAACACUGCAAAGGAAUAGUGCUGUGAUUUUCUUCCCCAUUUGAAGAAGCUCUGUGAAAAGGAAAUCGUUGAUGAGAACAAAUGCAGACAUGACAGGUUGAUGCCCCAGCAGGUGCUUUUGGGAAAUGCUGAAACAAAGAAACCAACCAAGCAAGAAGCUUCUGAUUUCUCCUUCAGCCUCCACAUUUGAAAUCCUGUCUGGAAUUACGAACAUCUGAUUGCUCUGCUCGAAGGGUCAUUGCCCUUGUCCUAUGGUGGCAAGAGAGGGCCUUGGCAUCAAAGGACCUGGGCCUCAGUUCUGGCUCUGCCCCUAAAACAUAGCAGGACCUUAAGAGUCUUGAAUAGGAAAUAAACUUUUGAGGAGGCAGAAGAAGAAUAUCUCUACUGUGGAACUGUGUCCUCUGACUUCUUAGGGGAGCUUCCAAAUCAUUCCCUGUGUUCCUAACUGUUGCUAACUCCUAGAAAUUUCCCUGGUUUCAAGAAACAUAGCCAGGAAAUCACAGCUUUUAUCUGGAGAGAAGAAAGAAAGGUAUUUGCAGUGGGCACGCUUUAAACAUAGAUGGAGUAGCAUUUGCGUACAAAGGAGCAAGUAUGAGGGCCCAUGGUUUUCCUGAUCUGACUCGCGGAAUCCCGCAAGCCAAGGGAGCUUUUUUCCCUCCUCUAUUUUCUCCUGUAUUUUCAGAGGGAAAAACUGAGGGUCAGUUUGUGGUGUGCCCAAGACACCCAGCUAACAUGUGUCUGAGUAUCUGAUUCUAGCUUCAUCUGACCCCCAAAGCCUGGGCUUCCCCUUGUGAUGCUUUCAUAGUUUUGGUUUAUUGGCUCUGGUUCAACAAUUCAAGCAGAGAAGGAAAAGUGAGGUUCUUAUCUCAUUCCCUGAAUUAUUUCUUAUCUCAUUCCCUGAACUCAUUAUUAAAAGGAUCAUUUGUACACAAAGCAAAGAAUUUGGGAUAAUUUGAGGGACCCUCUCCUGGCCCCAAAUAGCCUCUUUUCCCCUAGUCUACAAGAGUGUUAUUCAUGUACAUUAUUGGAAAUCCCUCCAUGACCUAUUCAAUCUUUUGGGUUAAAUAUUCCUUUUCCUUGGUUAUUCUUUUUUCAAAGGAAUAUACACCCAAGGAGAGAUGGCAUAUUAAUCAUUAAGACUAUAGUCUUAAUAGUCAGUUAAUUCCAUGCCUUCUCUUUUCUCAGAAAAGACUAGGGGAUUCCAAGUUAGUAGAAAAGGAAAGACAUGCUGUUUGGGUUCUUGGCCUGGGAUUGUGGAUUGCUAAGAGUGCAGGAAUAAGCCAGCUAAGAAGUUAGCAACGGAGAAGAGGUUAGUAAACUAUUGCUAAUAUUAAAAUAGAAAAUGUAUAUUCAUCAGCAAGGUCUUCACACUUUAUGAAAAAGGCCUUUAGGUUUCACUUAGCUUUAUAGUGACAUAACCGUGUAGUGAAAUUCUGUUCUGGAAUCCUGGUGGGUGGCCAUCAGGUACCAGCUCACACAGGUGAGCAUGGGCAGUGAGCUUAGACUGCCCAGACACAGUGCUCAGUGCUUAGCAUUCUACCUUCACAGUGACCCUGACUGGUUCUUUGACCCUCUGUGCAUGUGUUAUCAGUGGUAAUCACAACCAUCUUCACUUUUACAAAGAUAAAGAAGCCAAUUAUUUCUUAAGUACAGAUCAUUUUAUGGGCAAAAAUAAAAUCAGUGUUCAUUUAGGCAUCAUUGGCAUAGGGAAAAGCACUGAGUUUUAGGCCAAAAAAAUCUGUCUUCAAGUCCUUUGUUUAUACUAACAAGCUGUUUACCUCUAAGCCAGGCUUUUUACUUUAAGCCUCAGUUUUCCAUGGGGUGCCUGGGUGGCUCAGUUGGUUGCCUUCAGCUCAGGUCAUGAUCCCAGGGUCCUUGGAUCGAGGCCCAUAUCCGUCUCCCUGC